rfam:Asaia platycodi SF2.1, WGS project CBLX01000000 data, contig: 49
GCGGAUGUAGCUCAGUUGGUAGAGCGCCGGUUUGUGGUACCGGUGGUCGCGGGUUCGAGUCCCGUCAUUCGCC